AAGAACUUGUCUCAAAUAAAGCAAAGUGAGUAUCCCUGGUCUCUUAAGGAAGAAUCAACUUGAUCUGACCCUUGAAUGUAGAGAUCAUAAAAAUAACAAUAUUCUUGAAUAUGCAGGAAAAUAUGGCAUUGUUAAGAUGAACAAAUUGGGAGAAAGGAUGGAUUGUCUUGUACAAAGCAUCCGUGAGCAUGGUAAGCACUUAAAUUCUCUAUAAAAAACUUAAAUAUAUUUAUUGAAAAUAUUACUAAGAUAACAUUUUGUUCAAGUCGAAAAAUAAGUAUUUGAACUUGAAGUUGAAAGGGGUAUUUGGGAAUUGAAAUUGUGUCCGGACAUGAGUUCCGUUUGAAAAAAAAAAAGUUUUAAGCGAAAACAAUUAUCUCACUCAAAAAUGCUACUCAGACAAGUUAAUUCCAUACUAUACCAGUCUUACAAAUGCUAAAACAUUCGCCAACUGCGAAUACUGAUGGACAAACUUCACCUUAAGUAUUUGCAAGUGAUGUCAUGACCAAACACUAGUGUAAAUCUAAAGAACUCAGAGAAGUGAGUCAUGAAGUACAAAAUUCAUGCAAGAAGCACAUGCAUACAUGAUAGAAAACAUUGAUUUUAAAUGUACUCUAAUUGUGCAGUGAGCCUAAGCGCGAAACUAACAGAAACUUUAAAGGGAAAAUUGAGCCUUGGAGCAAAAAUUCUUCAAGUAGGAGGGUUGAAGAAAAUAUUCAGGCAGAAGUUCAGUGUUAGAGAUGAUGAAAAGCUAUUGAAAGUUUGUCAAUGCUAUUUAUCAACUACAGCUGGUCCAAUAGCAGGCCUUCUCUUCAUCUCUACCGAUAAGAUUGCUUUCUGCAGUGAGAGAUCAAUAAAGCUCUCAUCUCCAACUGAAAAGUUGCUUAGAAUCUACUAUAAGGUACCACUCUGCUCCGUUUGUCUUUCAACUCUUAAUUUUCUAACCACGUAAAGCAUAAUCUAACUGGUUCACAAUGGCAGGUAUCAAUCCCAGUAAGUAAGAUAAUGAAAGCAAAAGAGAGCAAGAAUAUGCAAAAGCCAUCACACAAGUAUAUACAAGUAAUUACAGAGGAUGAUUUUGAGUUCUGGUUUAUGGGAUUUCUCAAUCAUCAAAAGACACUAAGGUAUCUGCAGCAGGCAAUCUCCAGCUCAAGCAAGUUAUGAAGACAACAUUUUUUCCUUUGUUCAUUUUUUUUCCAAUGAGCUCAUUCUUCAAUAUAAAACAUUCAUGCAAAAACGAAGUCAGGGAUCUGUUAAAACUUUGUAACUAGAUCCAUUGCUCAAAGGAAGCUUUAGGUUUAAGCUUUGUGCCCUUAUGAGUUAAUGGGAAUGUACAGACUUUUUUUUUGAAACUGGUAGCUUUUGUAUAGACUUAUUUUCUUUUUUGAGAAAGCAAGAGAUACAAAUGUAUAAAUUUAUUAUAAAACUUGUGCAGAUAGAUUGGUUUUUUUUGUAGAUUCAUUUAUCUUUCUACUUGUCCUUAGAGUAGACUUUAUGACCCAAGUGGUAGAUAUGAAAACAAGAACAAUAUGCUAGUUAUAGAAUUAGCAUUUUAGAUUGUUUAUAUGCAAAUUUAAUACUGCAUUCACAAGCUUUGCUGCCUUCAAGUUCUUUUAGUAUCCUUGAGAUAAGAAAAGGUGUAGCCAUUCUCACAAUGGAAUGCUACCCAUUCAUGAAAAGUGAACUGGUAUCAGCGUCCAUAAAAUGAUGAACCAGCCAAUUUGAAAUACUAAAAUUGGCAGUGUGUUUAACUUCUCUGCAUUUUACACUAUCAAGUUACAUAAAUGAUAACCACAGGUAACUGUAUUAAAAAGGUGGAUUUAGUAACCUGAAAAUCUGGGCAAGUUACCUGCUACAAGACGUUAAUAUACACUGUCAAUGUAAAGGCAACUUACCUACUAUAACAUGCUAAAAUACACUAUCAAUGUGAAAAAAAUGUUAUAUCAUCACUAAUAUACACUUGGUUUGUUGUUGAUAUCUCAGGUAAUAGCAAAGCAUUCUCAAACUUCAUAUUACUACAUAUUUAUGACAUAAACCCAAAAAACAAACCAAAUACAAUCAAUCUAUACUUCUUGAUCAUAGAUGUAGUCAAAGCACCCUAAGUAAGUGAUCAAAAUCCGGUGUGGAUCUCACACCCACACUUAUGUCGUGUUGACACGUGUGUGGUAGGAAUUUCGAAGAGUCUCAGUACCAUAGAUAAACUAUGAUAGUAGGGUACCAUACCCCUAAACUCUACAAUCCAAAAGAAGGCACAAGACUUCUCAUAGCUUGAUUUAGUUAUAACUAACUUUCUUGAGAUAUUUUCGGUAACACUAAUUGCUCUUCUCGUUUCGGAUAUGAUAGACGCUUAAUUCAUUUUCAUUUCUUUUAUAUAAUUGUGGUGUCUGACCACUUUGUGCACCUCGCUUAAUUCCACAAGAAUACUUGUUACCUCCUACCAACACAAGUACCAGGUAACUCAAUCCAACAUGGCAUAGACAAAUGGAAAAACAUCCACUGGAAUUUUAACCUCAGACCUCAUGGUCCUGAAAACUCACUUCAUUGAUCACAACGCCACACCCUUGGGUGCUCAUUUUAUUUAAGCUUUGCGUAACUAAACUCAUUUCCCAACAAAAAUUGACCAAAUAGCUUGCUAGAUAAUAUAAUUGAAAAACGAAUGAAAACACAUUACAACACUCUUAAAAUAUUAUUCUCUCCGGGCCAAUUUAUGUGGUGGAAUUCGACUCAACACGAAGUUUAAGAAAAGAACUUUUGGACUUAUGGCCUUGAACCUACCAUGAGAUUCUUGUGACUAAAAAAGUAUGACAUUAAGGGUAAAAUGAAAAAUUUUAAAUGAAAUAUUUCCAAGUAAAAGGUAUCAUUCUUUUGGAAUGGACUAAUAAAAACAAUGACAUAUAAUAUGUAAUAGAGGGAGUAUUAAAGAGUAUUACAAAUAAUUUCUUAAUAACUAGAUAAGUAGUUUGAAAGAAACACAUGAAAAAUGAAUCAAAAAAUAUUAUUAUCUUUUUAUGCUUCAAUUGUUAAAAUACUUUAUUUCUUUAGAUUUUUCAAAGGAUUGCUGUCCAAAGAUAAAAGAUGGUCAAACUAGGGAAAAGAUAAGUUAGUUUACCAGAAAGUUCAAAAUCAUAUGUCUGCGUGUUGUGCUCCACAUAGGAUCAGCAUGAAUGCCUACAUAACCUGCCCAUACACAUCAGGAUGAGAUGGAUAAAAAUAAAGAAAGAUAAGAAUAACUGCCUUGUAAGAGAAGGCAAUACAUACAAUCCAGACAAGCACAUGAAUUAUAGAUCUUACAUGUCAAAUUGAGAUCUUUGAAUGGCUAUUUUUCCUUGCCUAAUUAAUUAAGCAACACUUCAAGGAUGACCCUCACAUGUUCCUAAGGGGACAGGCAAGUGGUGGCUAUGAAUCAUCACUACUGUAUGUACAAUAAUGUCAUAAAUUCAAAUUUUUCACCUUGUCAACUUUAACACACAAGACUGGUAAAACUAACUUGAGAAAAAUUCGAAAGCAUAUGACGGCUAACCUAAUAGUAACAAUAUGAUUCUCAACAAUGUCCCUCUUGAGAUUAAGAACAAUUGUUUUUAGUUUAAACAACUGCUUAAUCAUAAAGAAUUACCUACAAAAUAACCAGUUAAUUUUCAUGGGAACGAAGUUGAGUCGAUUAAGCCAAAUUAAACUACCUUACUAGUUCGGAAGAGAUAACUUCAAUAUGUGAAACUUUCUCUUACUUUGGCUCAACUUACAAAAGAAGGCAGCAUCAUAAAGCAAAUCUGUCAACUAAUCUAAAGUUAUAAAAAAAAAAAAUACACAUGUGCACACAAAUCUUAAUGACAAUGAGUCAGCAUGAGAUUAGUUUACUGUAAUUGACCAGACAGCUAAAAGAAGACAUUUUCAAUACCUUACGAGAAAAGAGAAAAAGAUAUAAAAGGAAUUUAGAAAAUAAAGGGAGUGGUUGAACAUGCACUGCACUUUGAUUGUUUUUAGAAUAUUUCAAAUUUCAAUCAACAAAAAGAUUAUUGAAGACACUCCCAUCUCCCUGACAACCUUUUUCUUCUUGAUACAAAAGAAAAUUCUGAAAAAGCAUAUGCAUGACCUUUUUUGGUUAUUUCAGAUGACCCAUAGCUGACUCAUGCAACAAUCAGUUAAAAGAUUCACCAACUCCUCUGCAAGCACCUAUAUAUAAUGCUACAUGGAAUGCUUUUAAACCAUCAACCAAACUUAAAUAUUUCUCACAUACCUUCAAAAUACGGUAAUACUCCACCUCAAAUCAGAACCACAAUGAAGAACUUACUCCGUGGAAAUUUGGUGGGUAUUCCCAUGAGUACAACAAUAUGUUCACUUGAAAGGCAGCCGAAAAAACUAUUUGCCCUAUCUGCUUGCGAAGACCAUAUCGUUCCAUAUGCAACUUUAAAGAACUUGUCUCAAAUUAAGCAAAGUGAGUGUUUCCCUGGUCCCUUAAGGAAGAAUCAACUUGAUCUGACCCUUGAAUGUAGAGAUCAUAAAAAUAACAAUAUUCUUGAAUAUGCAGGAAAAUAUGUCAUUGGUAAGAUUAACAAAUUGGGAGAAAGGGUGGAUUGUCUUGUACAAAGCAUCCGUGAGCAUGGUAAGCACUUAAGUUCGCUACAAAAAACUUAAAUAUAUUUAUUGAAAAUAUUACUAAGAUAAUAUUAUGUUCAAGUCGGAAAAUAAGUAUUUGAACUUGGAGUUGAAAGGAGUAUUUGGGAAUUGAAAUUGUGUCUGGACAUGAAUUUUGUUUGAAAAAAAAGUUUGUAAGCGAAAACAAUUAUCUCACACAAAAAUACUACUCAGACAAGUUAAUUCAAUACUACACCUGUCUUUCAAAUGCUAAAAUCACCAACUGUGAAUACUGAUGGACAAACUUUACCUCAAGUAUUUGCAAGUGAUGUCAUGACCAAACACUAUUGUAAAUCUAAAGAACUCAGAGAAGUGAGUCAUAAAGUAAAAAAUUCAUGCAAGAAACACAUGUAUACAUGAUAGAAAGCAUUGAUUUUAAAUGUACUCUAAUUGUGCAGUGAGCCUAAGCCCGAAACUAACAGAAACUUUAAAGGGAAAAUUGAGCCUUGGAGCAAAAAUUCUUCAAGUAGGAGGGUUGGAGAAAAUAUUCAGGCAGAAGUUCAGUCUUAGAGAUGAUGAAAAGCUAUUGAAAGUUUGUCAAUGCUAUUUAUCAACUACAGCUGGUCCAAUAGCAGGCCUUCUCUUCAUCUCUACCGCUAAGAUUGCUUUCUGCAGUGAGAGAUCAAUAAAGCUCUUAUCUCCAACUGAAAAGUUGCUUAGAACUUACUAUAAGGUACCACUCUGCUCCGUUUGUCUUUCAACUCUUAAUUUUCUAACCAUGUAAAGCAUAAUCUAACUGGUUCACAAUGGCAGGUAUCAAUCCCAAUAAGUAAGCUACUGAAAGCAAAGGAGAGCAAGAAUAUGCAAAAGCCAUCACAGAAGUAUAUACAAGUAAUUACAGAGGAUGAUUUUGAGUUCUGGUUUAUGGGAUUUCUCAAUCAUCAAAAGACACUGAGAUAUCUGCAGCAGGCAAUCUCCAGCUCAAGGAAGUUAUGAAGACAACAUUUUUUCCUUUUGUUCAUUUCUUUUCCAAGGAGCUCGUUCUUCAAUGUAAAACGUUCAUGCAAAAACGAACUCAGGGAUCUGUUAAAACUUUGUAACUAGAUCCAUUGCUCAAAGGAGGCUUUAGGUUUAAGCUUUGUGCCCUUAUGAGUUAAUGGGAAUGUACAGACUUUUUUUUUUAGAUACGAAUGUAUAAAUUUAUUAUAAAACUUGUGCAGAUAGAUUGGUUUUUUUUGUAGAUUCAUUUAUCUUUCUACUUGUCCUUAGAGUAGACUUUAUGACCCAAGUGGUAGAUACGAAAACAAGAACAAUAUGCUAGUUAUAGAAUUAGCAUUUUAGAUUGUUUAUAUGCAAAUUUAAUACUGCAUUCACAAGCUUUGCUGCCUACAAGUUCUUUAAGUACGAUAUAUAGUGUCUUCAAAUUAUUUAUCUUUUGGAUAAAAUGAAAUAAGAUAUAAAAUCUGCAGUUGUGAAGUCAGUUUGAGGGAUAUUUCCCUGUUGUAAUUCAAUAUGCUGAGGCCGGAAACCACACUAUAUCAAUUUAAGAAUCUAAGUGAUCAUCAUCAUUUUUCUGGUCUGUAGUUCCUCACACCUUGAGAUAAGAAAAGGUGUAGCCAUUCUCACAAUGGAAUGCUACCCAUUCAUGAAAAGUGAACUGGUAUCAGCGUCCAUAAAAUGAUGAACCAGCCAAUUUGAAAUACUAAAAUUGGCAGUGUGUUUAACUUCUCUGCAUUUUACACUAUCAAGUUACAUAAAUGAUAACCACAGGUAACUGUUUAAAAAAGGUGGAUUUAGUAACCUGAAAAUCUGGGCAAGUUGCCUGCUACAAGACAUUAAUAUACACUGUCAAUGUAAAGGCAACUUACCUACUAUAACAUGCUAAAAUACACUAUCAACGUGAAAAAAAAAUGUUAUACCGUCACUAAAAUACACUUGGUUUGUUGUUGAUAUCUCGUGUAAUAGCAAAACAUUCUCAAACUUCAUAUUACUACAUAUUUAUGACAUAAACCCAAAAAACAAACCAAAUACAAUCAAUCUAUACUUCUUGAUCAUAGAUGUAGUCAAAGCACCCUAAGUAAGUGAUCAAAAUCCGGUGUGGAUCUCACACCCACACUUUUGUCGUGUUGACACGUGUGUGGUAGGAAUUUUGAAGAGUCUGAGUACUAUAGAUAAACCAUGAUAGUAGAGUACCAUACCCCUAAACUCAACAUCCAAAAGAAGGCACAAGACUUCUCAUAUCUUGAUUUAGUUACAACUAACUUUCUUGAGAUAUUUUCGGUAACACUAAUUGCUCUUCUCGUUUUGCACCUGAUAGAGGCUUAAUUCAUUUUGAUUUUUCUUAUAAUUGUGGUGUCUGACCACUUUGCGCACCUCGCUUAAUUCCACAAGACUACUUGUUACCUCCUACCAACACAAGUGCUAGGUAACUCAACCCAAUAUGGCUUAGACAAAUGGAAAAACAUCAGCUGGAAUUUGAACCUCAGACCCACUUCAUUGAUCACAACGCCACACCCUUGGGUACUCAUUUAAGCUUUAUGUAACUAAACUCAUUUUCCAACAAAAAUUGGCCAACUAGCUUGCUAGAUAAUAUAAUUGAAAAACGAAUGAAAACACAUUACAACGCUCUUAAAAUAUUAUUCUCUCAGGGCCAAUUUAUGUGGUGGAAUUCGACUCAACACAAAGUUUAAGAAAAGAACUUUUGGACUUAUGGCCUUGAACCUACCAUGAGAUUCUUGUGACUAAAAAAGUAUGACAUUAAGGGUAAAAUGAAAAAAUUUAAAUGAAAUAUUUCUAAAUAAAAGGUAUCAUUCUUUUGGAAUGGACUAAUAAGAACUAUGACAUAUAAUAAGUAAUAGAGGGAGUAUUAAAGAGUAUUACAAAUAAUUUCUUAAUAACCAGAUAAGAAGUUUGAAAGAUACACAUGAAAAAUGAAUCAAAAAAUAUUAUUAUCUUUUUAUGCUUCAUUGUUAAAUACUUUUAUUUCUUUAGAUUUUUCAAAGGAUUGUUGUCCAAAGAUAAAAGAUGGUCAAACUAGGGAAAAGAUAAGUUAGUUUACCGGAAAGUUCUAAAUCAUAUGUCUGCGUGUUGUGCUCCACAUAGGAUCAGCAUGAAUGCCUACAUAACCUGCCCAUACACAUCAGGAUGAGAUGGAGAAAAAUAAAGCAAGAUAAGAAUAACUGCCUUGUAAGAGAAGGCAAUACAUACAAUCCAGACAAGAACAUGAAUUAUAGAUCUUACAUAUCAA
rnacentral:lncRNA from 1 species